AUGGAAUGAUUACUCUCUGACAUGUGAGCCAGAAGCAUUCCUAGUAGAACUAAGCAUUUUGUUGUUGCUUAGAACAUUUGUAUCUCUGCUUCUGAGCCAGGUUAUGGAAGGGAGAAGUACAGAGCUCAUGGUUGGAGGACCAUCUGAAGCACCAUGAGAGGUGACCCUGAGGAUGUUGGGGGGAAAGGAGGAAUUGGUGAAAAUUGUCUCCCUUCCACUAUCUGCCAGCAGGAUCAGAGUGAAUUUCAUUAAGAGAAAAAGUCCUAUAAAUAGAAGAGCAACUCACGAUCCAAGCCAUUGAAGGUUAAAGAUGAGCAAACAUUUCUACUGUUAUAACUUUCUUCCUACCAAAUGCCAAACUGCCAGAAGUGUGAAAUCAACAUGAAGGAAUAACUUACUCAUGGAGGCUUCUUGCAAAGGCAUCAAUAUUUUUCAAGGAUGUGAAAUUAAAACUACACCCGUGGAAUUUAUUAUUGUGCCAAAAUCUAGUCAUUUC